rnacentral:rRNA from 1 species
GGGUCAGUAGGUUGGUCGUGCCACCGGUACGUACUGGUCUCACUGAUUCCUCCUUCCUGAAGAACCGUAAUGCCAUUAAUUUGGUGUUGCGGGGAAACAGGACUGUUACUUUGAAAAAAUUAGAGUGUUUAAAGCAAGCUAACGCUUGAAUACAUUAGCAUGGAAUAAUGAAAUAGGACGAUCGAUCCUAUUUUGUUGAUUUCUAGGAUUGACGUA